ncrna:Bombyx mori (domestic silkworm) microRNA bmo-mir-279d precursor
UUCCUCAGACGAUGAGUGACCGUUUAGUUCAAGUUGUCAAUUCUUGACUAGAUUUUCACUUAUCCUCUGCGGGCAC